CUGUUCAAUUCCUUGGGCUCCUGUUGCUCUGGUUUCAGGGUGCCAGAUGUGACAUCCAGAUGACCCAGUCUCCAUCCUCCCUGCCUGCAUCUCUGGGAGAGAGAGUCACCAUCAGUUGCAGAGCAAGUCAGGGUAUUAGCAAUAAUUUAAACUGGUAUCAGCAGAAACCAGAUGGAACGAUUAAACCCCUGAUCUACUACACAUCCAAUUUACAAUCUGGUGUCCCAUCAAGGUUCAGUGGCAGUGGGUCUGGGACAGAUUAUUCUCUCACCAUCAGCAGCCUUGAGCCUGAAGAUUUUGCAAUGUAUUACUGCCAACAGGAUGCUAGUUUUCCUCCCAC
rnacentral:lncRNA from 1 species